UCGAUCUCAAAUCAGGUAGGAUUACCCGCUGAACUUAAGCAUAUCAAUAAGCGGAGGAAAAGAAACUAACAAGGAUUCCCCUAGUAACUGCGAGUGAAGCGGGAAGAGCUCAAAUUUAAAAUCUGGCGUGCCUCUGGUCGUCCGAGUUGUAGUCUGAAGAAGCGUUUUCCGUGUUGGACCGUGUACAAGUCUCUUGGAACAGGGCGUCAUAGAGGGUGAGAAUCCCGUCUUUGACACGGACUGCCAAUGCUUUGUGAUGCGCUCUCAAAGAGUCGAGUUGUUUGGGAAUGCAGCUCAAAAUGGGUGGUAAAUUCCAUCUAAAGCUAAAUAUAGGCGAGAGACCGAUAGCGAACAAGUACCGUGAGGGAAAGAUGAAAAGCACUUUGGAAA
rnacentral:rRNA from 2 species